ACGGAAGGCAGCAGUGGGGGAUAUUGCACAAUGGAGGAAACUCUGAUGUAGCAACGCCGCGUGAGGGAAGAAGGUCUUCGGAUUGUAAACCUUUGUUUUUGGUGAAGAUAAUGACGGUAGCCAAAGAGGAAGCCACGGCUAACUACGUGCCAGCAGCCGCGGUAAUACGUAGGUGGCAAGCGUUGUCCGGAAUUACUGGGUGUAAAGGGUGCGCAGGCGGGUCAGCAAGUUGGAUGUGAAAUACCGGGGCUUAACCCCGGAGCUGCAUCCAAAACUGUUGAUCUUGAGUGAAGUAGAGGUUGGCGGAAUUCCGAGUGUAGCGGUGAAAUGCGUAGAUAUUCGGAGGAACACCAGUGGCGAAGGCGGCCAACUGGGCUUUAACUGACGCUGAGGCACGAAAGCAUGGGGAGCAAACAGGAUUAGAUACCCUGGUA
rnacentral:rRNA from 1 species